rnacentral:rRNA from 1 species
GACGAACGCUGGCGGCGUGCUUAACACAUGCAAGUCGAACGAUGAACCCGGAGCUUGCUCUGGGGGAUUAGUGGCGAACGGGUGAGUAACACGUGAGUAACCUGCCCUGGACUCUGGGAUAAGCGUUGGAAACGACGUCUAAUACCGGAUAGGACCUUGGAUCGCAUGAUCUGGGGUGGACAGUUUUUUCGGUCUGGGAUGGACUCGCGGCCUAUCAGCUUGUUGGUGAGGUAAUGGCUCACCAAGGCGUCGACGGGUAGCCGGCCUGAGAGGGUGACCGACCACGCUGGGACUGAGAAACGGCCCAGACGCCUCCGGGAGGCAGCAGUGGGGAAGAUUGCUCAAUGGGCGAAAGCCUGAUGCAGCAACGCCGCGUGCGGGAUGAGUGCCUUCGGGUUGUAAACCGCUUUUAGUAGGGAAGAAGGGCUUCGGCUUGACGGUACCUGCAGAAAAAGGACCGGCUAACUACGUG